rnacentral:rRNA from 1 species
CCCCUUGCCUGGUUGUGGUUGUGGUGGUUGGUGGUGCGUUUUAAAAACCAACCCCCCCCCCGCCGGGAAGGGGGGGGGAGAUCAAGAGAAGGAAGUUCGUUUCUUUCAAGAAAAAAUUAAGGGAGAGGGGACAAAA